rnacentral:rRNA from 1 species
AUGCAGCAGCGGCGCGGCCGGCCGUCCGGCACGGAUGGCUCCGACUUCUCCUACCGCAUGGUCGUCGACUCCCGGUACCAGAGGGUCGCCGACGGCAGAUCCCGCCUCGCCCGGCUCAUGCUCGUGCAGACACUGCACCAAGUUGCCGGGGGCGCGUUGCUGUUGCUCUCUCUGUCGAAGGGGGCGGAGAUAAACAAGUUCGCCGUGCUGUCCUUGGCCGCCGGGCUGCUGGCCAUUCUGUUGGGGGAAUUUGGGCGGAGGCGGACUGUGGCAGUGUUUCUUCGGUUGUACACAAGCUUGUCAUCGAUUGCUAUUGCAUUCUCUGUGACGUGCAUUAUUCGUUCAGACUUGUUCGUGAAGAUCACGAAGCAAAACACAGCAGCCAUUACAAGCUAUGAGAUGUUUGAUGUGGUCCGUGUUGCACUUGGUGUCCUGCUCCAAUUGGUGGUCAUUGCGACAACCACCAGACUCCUGCAAAACAUGUCUCCUCCCAAGAGAACUUCAUGA